rnacentral:tRNA from 1 species
GAGGGCGAACCGAUUGGCGAGGAGGCUGGUUGUGAGCCAGCCCGAAGCGGGUUCGAUUCCCGUCGUCCUCC